rnacentral:rRNA from 1 species
AUUGAACGCUGGCGGCAGGCCUAACACAUGCAAGUCGAGCGAGCGGCGGACGGGUGAGUAAUGUCUGGGAAACUGCCUGAUGGAGGGGGAUAACUACUGGAAACGGUAGCUAAUACCGCAUACCAUCAGAUGUGCCCAGAUGGGAUUAGCUAGUAGGUGGGGGACCGGCUCACCUAGGCGACGAUCCCUAGCUGGUCGGAGAGGAUGACCAGCCACACGGGACUUGGGCCACGGUCCAGACGCCUACGGUGGGCAGCAGUGGGGACUAUUGCACAAUGGGCGCAAGCCUGAUGCAGCCAUGCCGGGUGUGUUAAGAAGGCCUUCGGGUUGUAAAGCACUUUCAGCGGGGAGGCGUUACCCGCAGAAGAAGCACCGGCUAACUCCGUGCCAGCAGCCGCGGUAAGAC